UAACACACUGUUCCCCGGUAGGCCGUCAUUGUAAAUAAGAAUUUGUUCUUAACUGACUUGCCUAGUUAAAUAAAUUGAAAUGGUCCAGAAUUAGGAUUAAUCUGUAUCUGGGAAACAGGCCCGUAGGUUUGUGUUGUGCCCAUAGAGUUAGGUAGAUGUAUGUGUUGUGCCCAUAGAGUUAGGUAGGUUUAUGUGUUGAGCCCCAGGACCAUAGUUAGGUAGGUUUAUGUGAUGUGUUGUGCCCCAGGACCAUAGUUAGGUAGGUUUAUGUGUUGUGCCCCAGGACCAUAGUUAGGUAGGUUUAUGUGUUGUGCCCAUAGAGUUAGGUAGGUUUAUGUGUUGUGCCCAUAGAGUUAGGUAGGUUUAUGUGUUGUGCCCAUAGAGUUAGGUAGAUUUAUGUGUUGAGCCCCAGGACCAUAGUUAGGUAGAUUAUGUGUUGAGCCCAUAGAGUUAGGUAGAUUUAUGUGUUGAGCCCCAGGACCAUAGUUAGGUAGAUUUGUGUUGAGCCCAUAGAGUUAGGUAGGUUUAUGUGUUGUGCCCAUAGAGUUAGGUAGAUUUAUGUGUUGAGCCCAGGACCAUA